GGAGAUCAGAGCUAUAAUGGCUCAGUACAUGCCGCUUGAUAGUCAAGGAGAAGUUCAGAGCCACGCCCACGAAGAGAACCACUUGUGAAGCUGUUUAGCUUAAUUUUGGCGGUGUAUUCUCAACACAGUUAACACUAGAGGUGUCCUAGCUAAGAAGAGCCAGAAAUGAUCGAGCGGACUAUAAAAGACUAGGAGACGAUCAUAGAUAAGUAUCGAUAGGGGUUUUAGGAGUGACGGAUAUUUAUUGUACGCAGAGUUGAGUGAGGGUUAUAAGAUGUUAAUCCUGUUAGCAACAGUAGAGCAAGUUACCCUGUAUGGCGUUGUCUCUCCUAUGAUCUCCAAGCUCUUACUAGUGUUGAUUGCUUGUGUAGUUCUGCAUGCUUGAUAGAUUAAUG
rnacentral:misc_RNA from 1 species